GGGGGAAGUAUUGUUACGUGAAGAACAAUAGUUUAGGGGUAUUUUACUAAUUAUUAGUAGUUUAGGGAGUCUAAUGUGAUUGUUUGGGUUAUUUACUUAUUUAUGUACGUAAUAUGAAGGAAGGAAAUCAGAUUUGAAGUUUGAAAUUCUCCUAUCUUCUCCAAAUAUUCUCCUAGUUCUUCUCUUUUAGGGUUUAACCCUAUCACACUUAGGUUAUUUUUAUUCUGUCUAUAUUGAAGUCCUCUGUUUUGAUCUUCCUUCAACAUUUUUUUUUCCAGAUUUUACAACGAGGAUUCUGAUCAAGGGUUCCGGUGACCAUUCAAGAAUGUUUGAUAGGGCCAGAAGGAGCAGUUUGCAGAGGUUAUACAAUGCAGUUGUUUACGGUUCUGGUCAUACCAAAUUUUGGGUGGACAACUGUUUUACACCCCACGUCCUCCCCUUAAUUUCGCAAAAAAAAAAAAAAAAAAAAAAAAAAAAAACUGCACCUUCCUGUUAUAAACUCCCCACCAUCACCACCGCUCUCCCUAAUUGCCAUCCACUUCCCCGUCGUCAUCAUCAACGCCGAGUUCCGAGUCGGUGGCAAGAGUUGCUUUGGUUCACAACAGGUUGAUGGACGACAAACCUAUUUGUUUUAUCAUUUUCCUAAUGCAAUUGCUACUAUAAGAAGAUGAAAUUGAGAUGGAAGACAAACCUAAAGAGGAACAGGUAACCGAGAUGGAUUGAAAUCAGCCGGGGACAACAUGUAAGAGGGUCCUGUUUAUAUUCUCCGACCUCUCUCUUUGUUCUUCUGACUAAAAUUUUAAAUUAUUUGUUUUACUGAAAUUGGAUUCAUGUGUUUUGUUGAAUGAGUCCUAUUCAGUGGGAAGAAAAUUGAAAUAUAUGAAACAAAAAACAACCAUGAAGAACCAACAAGCUUCAAGAAACAUUAUAUCUAAAAGAUCCACACUUUUCUUGUGUAUCUGUAUUUUUGUGUUGGAUUACUCUUCACCAAAAGGUACAUACACGGUCUUAGUACUUUAUAUUACAAGUUUGAUUCUUUUGUUUUUAGAUAUUAAAGAGAUGCAUGCCAACUGUUUGAUUUUAUUCCUUUGAGAAAAAAAAAAUGCAGGGAAAUUGAGCGAUUUUUGGAGUUCUCUAUACAGUUUUGCAGGUGCCAUAUUUGGUCUAUGAUUUUGAAGAUUCAGUUUUGUUUGUGGUUUAUGAUUUUGCAUGUUCAGAAGAAGCUUUAGCGGUUUUUUUUUUUUUUAUCAAACUCACGGUUACCACAAAACUUCAUCUAGGUUUGUUUCUAUUUUAUCUUCAUCCGAAGUUUUAGCGGUAUUAUUUUAUUUAGGAUUUAGAGUUUAUGUUGAGUGAUUUGUAGUGACCAACACCUGUUCGAUGUUAGCGUCAAAAUUGCCAUUCACGGGUACACCGCUGCUGGUGGCGCGAGUUCUGGUUGGUGGGUUGUCAACAAAAGUGGAGCAUAUUGAGGAAUGAUUGUUCAACCAUCAGAGGGUAUGCAAUUUCAUUUAAGAAGUUGUUUAUCAUAGAUCAUGAAUGGUCAUCAAAGGUAUUCAUAGUCUUGUAGCAUAUGUGGAAUUUAAAAAAAUUAAGUAGGCUUAGAUUCUAAUCUUGUAUAAUUUAGCAAGAAUCCCUUAUUAAAAGUUUUUGAUUUCUUUUAUUGUAGUUCAUGCUUUGUAGUGUUCAAAGAAGGGUUAAUUGAUCAGUCAUCACGGGUUCUUUUUUUGUGGUUCAUGCUUACAUAUGAAAUGGAAGCAAUUCUGGGUUUUAGUUCCGCUUGCGAAGUAACACUACGUUUCUGGCUGUUCAAUAAAAGGCAUUGCUCAAGACACACAAUGUUUAUCUGAUCUCUAAGUAAUAUAGUUUUUAUUUAGAGUGUUAAUGUAUAAUCUUAGUUGAAAAGGAGAAGAACAGUAGCAAAAAGUUCUUACCAGUAGCAGUUUUCAACAAGUCUUCUUUCUGAUAAGUCUUUAACCUUAAUUUAGAUCAAAUAAAUUUGUAUACUUUCUCUAUCAUCUCUCUUUUAUGCCUACCAGGUGUUGGUGUUUGCUGAAAUACCUGAGUGAGUGUUAAUCACAUAAUGGUCUUCCCUUUUUAAUAAAGACAAUGUCAUGUAGAUACUUUUUUGCCUAGAACAAUAAAGCUUGUACAAGUUGCAACUGCUAGAGGUAAUCAGGUUGCUAUUAAGAUGCUUUUUCCUUUAUCAUCUCAAGUGGAAACUAAAGGAAUGCAUAUUCAUUAAUCCAUAAUUCUUUCUUGAUGUCAUGAGCCGACAGUAAUCCAGCUAAAAUCGUUUAUAUGUUUCCUAUUCGCAGAUAGUGCUAGAUCGACUUUCUCUUGUGGAGCUUAAUGUAUGAUGGAGAUCACUUCUUGAUGUCGGUAGUAGGGUCGCCCGGAUCGUAACCCGCUUAUGACCCGCCUCAUGGUGGCAGUCCAGGGGCAUAACUUUAGUCUGGGAGCAGAUGGGGAUGGAAUUAGAGGGAUCCAUUGAGUUUUCGGUUAAAAGCAUUCGGGACAAAGCUUAGUGCCUCGCUUUCAUAGACUUUGCCUUCAAGUUAGAGUGCAAAAACUGGGCAUUAUGGUUGAUUUUCUGAUUUGGAGGAUCGUUCAAGACAAACUCCCAACAACUACGGCUCUAGCAAGGAGGAACAUUUUUGUGCUUAAUACUCGGUGCAAGAUGUGCGAAGAUGAGGACGAAUCGGCCUUGCAUCUGUUUGUUUCAUGUCGCAUAGCGGUACUGGUGUGGGAGUUUAUCUCACAAUGGUGCAAGUUAAGCCCAAUAUAUGUUUUGGAACUAAAGGAUUCGACCAAUAUUAACAACCGAAACAAAGGUUCGAGGAAGUGGAGGAAGUCACCAUCUAUGGUGACCCUGAAAGUGAUUUUGGUUAUAUGGAGGAGUCGCAACGAGUCGGUCUUCAAUGGCAAGCAAAUCAUUGUAACAAGGAUAAAGUAAGACAAUAAAGCAUUUGGAUAUUUGUGGUUGAAGAACUAGGCGAAAGCUGGUAACCCAACUUGAGAGAAUUAGUGUAACUUUAUCUUACCAUGGGGAUAUGAGACUAGGAGUAUAUGAAUCUUUUGUGUAUAGUUAGUGUAAUAAAUGUUUAACAGUUCGUUAACCAACAGUAUAUGGAUAAAAUUUCGUUGGUCUUUCAAAAAAAUAUUACGUUAAGUAUCGGGUCAAC